rnacentral:lncRNA from 1 species
GUCAGCGCCAUCUUGUGACGGCGAAUGUGGGGGCGGCUCCCAACAGUCACCCAUCCAUUAGUGGCUCAUGUGUUCUUAAGACAAACUCAGCAGGCUGUACCUGUCCAGAGUUUGGGGAAGCGGAGAGCUGUUCUAACAGCUGGACCUGGUGUGGAGCCGAGACCCUCUGGAUUCCCCUCCUGGCCUUCCCCUCUAACACCCUCUGCAUCCAAGGUGAAACCAGAGCUUCUGCCUGCAUGGAACAAGAGCAAGAGAAAGGCCGAGGAGACUGACCUGCUUAUCCAUGCUACUUAUCAGGAACUGUGGAACCAUGGAGAACAUGACCCUGGCCCUCCCUUCAGGAUCUGCCUGAGAUCUGGCUGCCUCUUGAGACACUAGAGCCCUGGAUUCAAUUGCGGAACAUUAUGUUGGAGAAUAUAAACACUUCUAGACUGUGCCGGCAUUUGGGAAGGAAUAGUCUGUUUUGACUUGAAUGAACAAAGACAUACGUCUCUGGGCCUGGGGAAGGCUUACCAGCUCAGCUCAUCUACUGUCUGGUGGCAAACAUGUCCUGGGUACUGCCACUACCCAGGACACUCUUCCUCACUCUGUCCCUGUCCAGUUACCGCACCCUUCCCUGUCUGACCCCGCCUCCUGUGCCCACUCGCCUCUGGACCCAGAGAUUCUUCUUGUUUGCUCUAUCAUCCUUGAGCCGGAUACAGGGUGAAUAGUUAACCACACUUGGGUUGAAUGGGAUCUUGAUUCUUAUUUCUGUUCCUUGGAAAGAGGGGUCAGACUCGGUGCGUGGCACCCGGCCUGGAAGCAGCACAAGACUCCAGAGUGAUACAUGAUCUGCCUGGAUGGUCCCAGGGGCUCUUUGGAGGUCAGAGCAAGAGGAGCAGCCUGAGCAGGGGGGCUGAGGAGGGCCGGCACUGGAUCACACGCAGGCGUAUGUCUGGAUAGGCAGAGAGGAACCCACUUUUCAUUCCCUCUUCUGUGACACAAAUGCAAGGAACUUUGAAGACACUCUUCGGAGGUUGCAAUCGGAGAUCAGCUUAUCCAAGGGCUUCAUGUCUGAGCUCUGUUGGUCGUGCCUCCUGAGGACCUCUUUCCUCUACUGUAUGCUGAUGACACACCCAUCCGAUGGGAGCUGGAGCCUUGUCUGGUCCUUUCCUCUAUGACCCCACGUGUACAGUUGGAAAUCCUUCCUAAUCAUGCCUUGAUUCCCCCUUUUCGACUACACUCAAAGAUGUUUGAGCUGUUUUAUUUGCAAAAUGGAUGGACAGUUUGUUUAUAUAAAACAAUCCCAGCUUC